UAGGUUAGUGACAAGAGGUUGAUAUUCGUGGACUUACGAUAACAUUUUGUGGGAUGGGAUGCCAAAAGAGAGUAAAUGAAUCGGACUGUUGGUUUGUUGUGCCCAAGCAUUGAGGCAGUCAAAGUAGGUAAAUCCGCUUUGAUAAUGCUAGGAUGUGAUGGGGAGCGAAAUUUAGUAGCGAAGUAGCUGAUUUCACACUGUCAAGAAAAGUCUCUAUCGAGGUUAAAGGUACCCGUACCGCAAACCGACACAGGUGGGUGAGGAGAGUAUCCUAAGG
rnacentral:rRNA from 1 species